rnacentral:rRNA from 1 species
AAGCUGGCGGCAUGCCUAAUACAUGCAAGUCGAACGCGCCUANCAAUAGGCGAGUGGCGGACGGGUGAGUAACGCGUGGGAACCUGCCCUUGAGUGCGGGAUAACCGAGGGAAACUUCGGCUAAUACCGCAUGCGCCCCGAGCAAUCGGGGGAAAGAUUUAUCGCUCGAGGAGGGGCCCGCGUCGGAUUAGCUAGUUGGUGGGGUAACGGCCUACCAAGGCGAUGAUCCGUAGCUGGUCUGAGAGGAUGAUCAGCCACACUGGGACUGAGACACGGCCCAGACUCCUACGGGAGGCAGCAGUAGGGAAUAUUGGACAAUGGGGGCAACCCUGAUCCAGCAAUGCCGCGUGAGUGAUGAAGGCCUUAGGGUUGUAAAGCUCUUUCGCGCGCGACGAUGAUGACGGUAGCGCGAGAAGAAGCCCCGGCUAACUUCGUGCCAGCAGCCGCGGUAAUACGAAGGGGGCGAGCGUUGUUCGGAAUUACUGGGCGUAAAGGGCGCGCAGGCGGCCGAUCAAGUCAGGCGUGAAAGCCCCGGGCUUAACCUGGGAAUUGCGCUUGGGACUGGUUGGCUUGA